rnacentral:rRNA from 1 species
GAUAAACGCUGGCGGCGUGCAUGAGACAUGCAAGUCGAACGAACGAGCUUGCUCGUUAGUGGCGGACGGCUGAGUAACGCGUAGGUGACCUGCCCCGAAGUGGGGGAUAACGGCCCGAAAGGGUUGCUAAUACCGCAUGUUGCGGCAUCUUCAGUGCUGUCAUCAAAGCCGCGAGGCGCUUCGGGAGGGGCCUGCGUCCGAUUAGCUCGUUGGUGGGGUAAUGUCUCACCAAGGCGACGAUCGGUAGGUGGUCUGAGAGGACGAUCACCCAGACUGGGACUGAGACACGGCCCAGACUCCUACGGGAGGCAGCAGUCGGGAAUUUUGCUCAAUGGGCGCAAGCCUGAAGCAGCAACGCCGCGUGAGGGAUGAAGGCCUUCGGGUUGUAAACCUCUUUUUCCAGGGACGAUGAUGACGGUACCUGAAGAAUAAGUCACGGCUAACUACGUGCCAGCCGCCGCGGUAAGAC